rnacentral:tRNA from 1 species
AUUAGGAUGGCCGAUAANNUAGGCAAUAAACUGUAAAUUUAUUUAUGAAAAANAUAUUUCUCCUAAUA